AAAUUGAAGAGUUUGAUCAUGGCUCAGAUUGAACGCUGGCGGCAGGCCUAACACAUGCAAGUCGAGCGGAAACGACACUAACAAUCCUUCGGGUGCGUUAAUGGGCGUCGAGCGGCGGACGGGUGAGUAAUGCCUAGGAAAUUGCCUUGAUGUGGGGGAUAACCAUUGGAAACGAUGGCUAAUACCGCAUAAUGCCUACGGGCCAAAGAGGGGGACCUUCGGGCCUCUCGCGUCAAGAUAUGCCUAGGUGGGAUUAG
rnacentral:rRNA from 1 species